rnacentral:tRNA from 1 species
UGGGCUAUAAGUUAAAUAGACUGGAAGUUUUCAACACUUCAAGUAAAAUUAAAAUUUUUGGCCUAG